rnacentral:lncRNA from 1 species
AGGUGCUGUACCCACAGUCAUAUCAUUUAACCCUCUCUCCAGCCCAGAUGUCCUGAUCCUAAGGGCCAGGCAGUUAGAUGGGUAUACCCCUAAAGUCCUAUACAACUCAGGGCCCCUGAAAAUGCCCCCUCAUCCAGCAUUUUCCCUACAUAUGGAAACAAACACCAUUGUUUGAAAAAAGUAAAAAACCUUCUUUACACUGAGCUGAAAUUUGCCUCCAGUGAUUUCUUCUUGGACUACACCGAAUAAGUUUCUUGCUCUUCCACUCCAUAAGCCUACAAAAUACUGGAGAACAGCUGUCAGGAGAGAUAACAAACCCGAAGCCUGGAAAUCACUCAUCAAACCAGUUUUCUUCCUUUUAAGUGACAAAUAUGUGGGUUGGGUCAAAACUGGAAGAGAAGAUCUGCUGCCAGGCCACAGUGCCCUUUGGUUUUUGCUUUCCAGAUGCUCGGGAGCCAUUCUGCAGGCAAGCAGACCUAUUUGCAGGGACGGGCAAUUGUUGCUGUGGUGCAAUGAAGCAAGUGGGGCUGGGAAAGAAUCCUUAAGAAGAUGGUUCCUGCCAGAUUUCUUUCUGCCAGUGCCACAAACUUUAAUUAAAGCGAGCCCUCAGGCUGCACCAGGGACUACAGGUGCUGUGAUGUUGGUGUCCAAUGGGGUCAACAGAAAGAACUGCUAACUGUGAGUGAGGCAGCAGCCAAGAUGCAAGCACCAGCCAACAUGCAAAGAGAAAAGAGAAAAUGAACCUGUGUUCCCUUCCGAUAAGACAGUAUUUACAAACCGGAGAUCUGGAGACUGACAGGCGGGGUCCCAAACUCAGCUCUGGCACUUGAAUAAACCAGAUGACUUGGGACAAACUACUUAAUGCUCCUACCUCCCCUCUUCCACACCUUUUCUUCCUCUAUAUAAGGAGGAUGAUAAUAUCUACUCUGUGGAGUUGUUUUUAAUGAUUUACCAAAAUGAACAAAUGUCAGAGUCUUGCUUUGUUGCCCAGUCUGGAGUGAGUGGUGUGAUCACAGCUCACUGCAGCCUCAACCUCCUGGGCUCAAGCGAUCCUCCCACCUCAGCCUCCCAAGUAGCUGCGGCUACAGGCACAUGCCACCACAUCUGGCUAAUUUGUUGUAGAGAUGAGGUUUCACCAUGUUGCCCAG